AGGGUGCGAGCGUUGUCCGGAAUUAUUGGGCGUAAAGAGCUUUUAGGCGGUUUGUCGCGUCUGCCGUGAAAGCCCAGGGCUUAACCCUGGGUCUGCGGUGGGUACGGGCAGACUAGAGUGUGGUAGGGGAGACUGGAAUUCCUGGUGUAGCGGUGAAAUGCGCAGAUAUCAGGAGGAACACCGAUGGCGAAGGCAGGUCUCUGGGCCACUACUGAGGCUGAGAAGCGAAAGCAUGGGGAGCAAACAGG
rnacentral:rRNA from 1 species